UACGUAGGGACCGAGCGUUGUCCGGAAUCAUUGGGCGUAAAGAGCGUGUAGGCGGCUUGUUAAGUCUUGCGUGAAAUCUCGGGGCUCAACCCCGAGCGGUCGUGAGAAACUGGCAGGCUAGAGUGCGGGAGAGGAGAGUGGAAUUCCUGGUGUAGCGGUGAAAUGCGCAAAUAUCAGGAAGAACACCCGUGGCGAAGGCGGCUCUCUGGAACGCAACUGACGCUGAGACGCGAAAGCGUGGGGAGCAAACAGG
rnacentral:rRNA from 1 species